rnacentral:rRNA from 1 species
GACGAACGCUGGCGGCGUGCUUAACACAUGCAAGUCGAACGAAGAGCGAUGGAAGCUUGCUUCUAUCAAUCUUAGUGGCGAACGGGUGAGUAACGCGUAAUCAACCUGCCCUUCAGAGGGGGACAACAGUUGGAAACGACUGCUAAUACCGCAUACGAUCUAACCUCGGCAUCGAGGAUAGAUGAAAGGUGGCCUCUACAUGUAAGCUAUCACUGAAGGAGGGGAUUGCGUCUGAUUAGCUAGUUGGAGGGGUAACGGCCCACCAAGGCGAUGAUCAGUAGCCGGUCUGAGAGGAUGAACGGCCACAUUGGGACUGAGACACGGCCCAGACUCCUACGGGAGGCAGCAGUGGGGAAUCUUCCGCAAUGGACGAAAGUCUGACGGAGCAACGCCGCGUGAGUGAUGACGGCCUUCGGGUUGUAAAGCUCUGUUAAUCGGGAUGAAAGGCCUUCUUGCGAAUAGUGAGAAGGAUUGACGGUACCGGAAUAGAAAGCCACGGCUAACUACGUG